UACGUAGGGGGCAAGCGUUGUCCGGAAUCAUUGGGCGUAAAGCGCGCGUAGGCGGCCCGGUAAGUCCGCUCUGGAAGUCCAGGGCUCAACCCUGGAAAGUGGGUGGAUACUGCCGGGCUCGAAUCCGGAAGAGGCGAGUGGAAUUCCUGGUGUAGCGGUGGAAUGCGCAGAUAUCAGGAGGAACACCAAUAGCGAAGGCAGCUCGCUGGGACGGUAUUGACGCUAAGGCGCGAAAGCGUGGGGAGCAAACAGG
rnacentral:rRNA from 1 species